UACAGAGGGUGCGAGCGUUGUUCGGAAUUACUGGGCGUAAAGCGCGUGUAGGCAGUUUCGCAAGUCGGGUGUGAAAGCCCUGGGCUCAACCUAGGAAGUGCACUCGAAACUGCGAGACUUGAGUCCUGGAGAGGAAGGCGGAAUUCUCGGUGUAGAGGUGAAAUUCGUAGAUAUCGAGAGGAACACCGGUGGCGAAGGCGGCCUUCUGGACAGUGACUGACGCUGAGACGCGAAAGCGUGGGGAGCAAACAGG
rnacentral:rRNA from 1 species